rnacentral:rRNA from 1 species
UGCCAGCAGCCGCGGUAAUACGGAGGGUGCAAGCGUUGCUCGGAAUUACUGGGCGUAAAGGGUGCGCAGGCGGUCUUUUAAGUCAGAUGUGAAAGCCCAAGGCUCAACCUUGGAACUGCAUCUGAAACUGGAUGACUUGAGUAUGAGAGAGGAAAGCAGAAUUCCUGGUGUAGAGGUGAAAUUCGUUGAUAUCAGGAGGAAUACCGGCGGCGAAGGCGGCUUUCUGGCUCAUUACUGACGCUCAUGCACGAAAGUGUGGGUAGCAAACAGGAUUAGAUA